rnacentral:rRNA from 1 species
GACACUUUGCGGGGUGCUUACACAUGCAGUCGAACGGUGAACACGGAGCUUGCUCUGUGGGAUCAGUGGCGAACGGGUGAGUAACACGUGAGCAACCUGCCCCUGACUCUGGGAUAAGCGCUGGAAACGGCGUCUAAUACUGGAUAUGUGACGUGACCGCAUGGUCUGCGUCUGGAAAGAAUUUCGGUUGGGGAUGGGCUCGCGGCCUAUCAGCUUGUUGGUGAGGUAAUGGCUCACCAAGGCGUCGACGGGUAGCCGGCCUGAGAGGGUGACCGGCCACACUGGGACUGAGACACGGCCCAGACUCCUACGGGAGGCAGCAGUGGGGAAUAUUGCACAAUGGGCGCAAGCCUGAUGCAGCAACGCCGCGUGAGGGACGACGGCCUUCGGGUUGUAAACCUCUUUUAGCAGGGAAGAAGCGAAAGUGACGGUACCUGCAGAAAAAGCGCCGGCUAACUACGUGCCAGCAGCCGCGGUAAUACGUAGGGCGCAAGCGUUAUCCGGAAUUAUUGGGCGUAAAGAGCUCGUAGGCGGUUUGUCGCGUCUGCUGUGAAAUCCGGAGGCUCAACCUCCGGCCUGCAGUGGGUACGGGCAGACUAGAGUGCGGUAGGGGAGAUUGGAAUUCCUGGUGUAGCGGUGGAAUGCGCAGAUAUCAGGAGGAACACCGAUGGCGAAGGCAGAUCUCUGGGCCGUAACUGACGCUGAGGAGCGAAAGGGUGGGGAGCAAACAGGCUUAGAUACCCUGGUAGUCCACCCCGUAAACGUUGGGAACUAGUUGUGGGGUCCAUUCCACGGAUUCCGUGACGCAGCUAACGCAUUAAGUUCCCCGCCUGGGGAGUACGGCCGCAAGGCUAAAACUCAAAGGAAUUGACGGGGACCCGCACAAGCGGCGGAGCAUGCGGAUUAAUUCGAUGCAACGCGAAGAACCUUACCAGGCUUGACAUAUACGAGAACGGGCCAGAAAUGGUCAACUCUUUGGACACUCGUAAACAGGUGGUGCAUGGUUGUCGUCAGCUCGUGUCGUGAGAUGUUGGGUUAGUCCCGCCACGGACCGCAACCCUUCGUCUAUUGUUGCAGCACGUAAUGGUGGACUCAUGGGAUACUGCCGGUCCACUCUGAGGAUGGGGGCAUGACGUCAAUCUAUCAGUCCCUUAUGGUCUGGGCUUCACGUCUUGCUACAUUGGC